UUACUGUUACUAAAAUAGCUCUGUUGGUAAAUAAAAUUUUAAUUGAACAUGGACACUAUGUCAAAUAAACAUUAAGUGGGUAAAACAUGCAAUUUUAUUUCAUUCCUUUUUCUAAAUAUAGUUCUACUAUAAAUGUUCACAUUAUUUUCUUAGUCAUUUACAAGAGAAAGUUUUAGUUUGAAUCAAAUCAAUAUCAUGUUAAUUCUUUACAAAAUACUAACACAUAUUGCAAUAACUAGUUCAGAUUUGUUAAAAAACAAAAACUAAAUUUUUCUUUAAGUUUAUUUCUAUUUCAAUUUGAAAGUAUUCUUACAAAAAGGUAGCCAUGCAAAAUGAUGUUCUCUUUUGGACUGAAAUGGAUUGUCUCAUUUUGUUGUUUAGUUACUGCAAUGCAAAUUGGAGUUUGAACAAAUUAAAGUAAAAGCAUAAUAAAUAGAAUGUAUGUAUAGUAUUACAUAAUUUUAAUGAAUUUUCUCAAUACUGGCUUUUAUCUUUCAGACUAAGUUUUUUUAAGAGUAGAACAAUCUUCCUUGUCAAACUGUUUUAAACCAAUCUUUUGAAGUAGCCUAAGUAAAUUGAAUAAUUUUUUCAUAAUAUUUUUAAAAUCAAGGCAAAGGAAGAAUCACAUUCAAUAUCUUUUUAACAGGAUUUGUUUCACUUUUCACUGCCCAGGUAAUCAUGCAUCACAUGCCCUCUGAUAUGUACAAAAAAUGAAGUUUGAGAAGAAAGAGAAAGGAUCAAGAUGAUUUACAAGACACUAAAGAAGUUAUCUAUCAACUAUACUCAAUGUAUGGACGACUUGCAGCCAGACCAGAAUUAUAGAGAAAGAUGUUUUUCUGCUGGCUAAACAUGUAUGGAUAAUGAUGCAGAGAAUUUCCUGGUGAUCAAGAAUUAGGAGCUGCACACAGUUUAAUGAAACCAUAUUUUAGGAACAGAUAGAAAACAAAGAACUGCAGCAAAGAUGGCCUGUUUUUAUUCUUCCUCAUG